ACUUUAUGACAUGUAAAGAAAAUGGCGUCUGCCUGUCGACUGGAUUUUUAAAACUAGUGAAACAUAUCCUGACAAGCUUAAAAAAUUUAAAUGGUA